AUAGCUCCAGAGUCCAGAUUUAGAACCAAGGGUUAGAUGUAAGUUAGAAUAUGUUUAUACGGUGAUGAUGAAACCUCGUUUCUAACGAGAUCUUAACUUAUCUUUUAUACCCAUUUUCAUUGCUCUUUUUCUUUGUUGCAAUUCUUCUCCCUAGUUCAGAGCUCCAAUUUAGAGAAAAAAAUAUCAAACAAACAAAUCGCCAUGAUCAAAUAAAAGCAAACCCUAACCAACAAGUGAUUCCAAAGUUAUCAAUUUUUUUUUUCCAAAACCGAUUUAUUUAAAACCUCUUUUUUUUCUGGUUUCAAUCUUCAUCAGGUAAACCUGUGGGUUCACAAUAUAAUUUUUGUUUUUUAAUUUCUUGAAUGUUAGGGUUUUAGUUAAAUUUUUGUUUUGUUUUUGUAUGUAGAAUACCUUCAAGUGGAUUUAUCUUCGGGUAUAACAUCUCCGUCACUUUGAUUCAAUUUUAUUGGUGUUACUAGGGAUUUUGUUGGUUUUACUGAAGUUCUCAGAUUUUAUUUUUAUUAUGUAAAAGGGUUUCUAUUCAUAUGCUAACUGUUAAACAAAACUGUAUUUGUUUGAUUUGUGUUUUAGGGAUUUCAAUCUUGAGAUCUAGUUUUCAUACUAUUCUUUGAUUUUUAUUUGGUGUGUAAUCGAAUUACUUUUAUAUUUGAGUUAGAAUCUUUUCUGUGUUCUUUCUGUUGAAUUUGGCUUUUAAGAUUAUAAUGAAACUUCAUUUUCUACUUUGAUGUACGUAGUUGUGUUCAAGGAAUUGUGUUUGUAUUAUCAGUCUUUGGUGUUUGUGUUCAGGUUUAAGAUGAAUCUAGACUGUUAAUUAAUAAUGUCUACAUGUUAUUUCGGACCAAGUAUUUUAUGUUUAUGUUUGCGUAUGUAAUUAGUUUUAGAUUAAAAUGUUUGCUGAAUAAACUGCAACUCGGAGACUUUUGAUAAACACCAUGAUGUAGAUAUCUGAUUUUCUUGUCAUCGCAUAUGAAUUCAGAUUUUUUUUGGUUUUUAUGAAUGACAGUGAAUUUGUGAUAGCUUAGGAUGAAUAUCUCAAGGGAUUCUAACUAUUGCAUUUGAUGUUCUUCUUGAUCCCAACAUGAAGGAACCUAAUUUAUAUUGUUGUGCCUUUUUAUUCCAGCAUGAUUGAUUAUGAUCAGGUUGCAUAUGCAGAAAGACUAUGUGCAUAUUUAUGCGAAUUGAUUGUUUAGAGUGUAGGUUUUUAUUUAAUAUGGCUUUUAUUUAGAUGUAUAUUGUUAGUGAUAUAGAAAUCUCUAAUAUGUAGGUUUUAUAUUAUGAUAUUGAGAAGCAAUGUUGCAUUUUCUAUUGUUGCUUAUAAUGGGUGUUUUUAUUAGAUAACUAUGGCUAGGUGCAAGUAUUUGGACUCCUUUGGUUGAUACAUGAAGGUCUCCACAUAAUGGUUUAGACAGUCAUGGCAGUUCAUUUUCAAGCGGUGGGCAUAAGUCUUAUCUGUCGUCGGAGGAUAUACAUUCUCCUAGUGAAGGUUCAAAUCAGUGGAAUGAGGCUCUACUGCAGACAUAUAGUGAUACUGAAGCUGGCAAUAAAAAAAAAAGCAUGAUCAGUAAUGUUGUUGUUUUCUUUUACUUCCCUUAAUAUAUUAGCUAUUCCAUGUUUCUUAUAAGAUUUAAUGAUUUUGUAUUGUUUUGUCUGCCAAUUAAUAAUAUUGUUUCUUAUAGGAUUUAAUGAUUUUGUAUUGUUUUGUCUGCCAAUUAAUAAUAAUAUAUUAGCUACGUCUUGUGUGUAGGUGAUAAUUGUCUGCCAAUCAAAUUCAAUGACAUUGGACAACCUAUAGGACCUCUACCCACAAGACGUAUGCCACCACACAUGGAAAGAUGAACAUAAAUCUUGUCUCACCAGCUUAUUUCAUCCUCCAUGCUUGCAGUGGAAUGAAAGUUUGUACACACAAGUAGUAAUGGAUGCAUCUAUGGACCUCCAUAUACUGAGUGUCAACUGGCAAGUCUGCUGGGAUACCCUUGAAGCAGCAAAUUUCAAUGAGUAUAGCCGGAAGACUCUUGUUGGAAUCCUGAUUUGUUAGGGUUUAAUCUCAUAGAACAUGUUUUGUGCCAUAUAUGCAAGAAAGAAAAGCCUAGUUCUGUUUUGGUUUUUAUGACUGGGUGGGAUAACAUUAAUGCUCUGAAGGAUCAGCUCCAAGAACACCCUCUUUUAGGAGAUCCUAGCAGAAUUUUGUUGCUUGUGUUCCAUGGAUCAAUGGCUACCCCGGAACAGCUUAGGGCCUCAACAAUGGAACUGAUUUGAGCUAGGUUGUCAGAAAAUGAAGGGAUAAAUGUGGUUUAACUUCCAUUUUCCACUAGUGAUCAACAACAACUGAAUCUGAAUAUUCUCCUGGAAAAUCAAACGAACAGAUUGUUUUAAGUUCAAAUAUAUUUGCUACAUUCAGUACCUUGUCCUGCGGAUUAAAGCUUAAUAAACGAAGAUACCUGGUAGCGUACGGUUGAAUCUAAACAAUUUCGACAGAAACUCAGUGAAAUUAGAUAAGUUUCUUUGAGCUUCUUUACGGUUCAUGAGAUUGCUGGAUAAAACUUGUAGAACAGGAAGAGAAAAUAUGUGUAAACUUUUUUUUAAUGUGAAUAUGAUUUGAAAUUAUGAUUUAUUUUAGUGUUUUAUAGGUUUGUUUUUUGAAAUAUAUGUAUUACUGCAGUUCUGAAAUAAUUUCUUAACUCUCAGAUUCAAAAAUACAUGUAGGUGGACUGUAAAGUAAACAAAAUGAUAUAUGAAGUAAUGGUGAUCUUUAACUUGUCUUAUCUCUUAUUUGCAGAGGGAAGUUCACUGGCAUCGGAACUGUGUUUGUUGGAUAAGGUACAUGUUCUGUUUCAUUAGAUGUUGCGGUAAUUCCAUUCUCUUAUGAUGAUUGAAAAGGAAUACACAGAUGCAGGGAGUGGUGGUGUUGAUAUUGAUACCACAAAAGUGGUUAAGAAGAUGAGGAUGGUGUUGUCGAGUGAGCUUCAGGUUCUUAUUAAAAGAUAUAUCAUGCAUAUCGGAAUGACUAGAUAACAUUGGUUGGCAGUUGCUUUAUGGCCAGCUUGUUCUCAGUAAAGGACCAUCAUUCGGUUUGGAUAAUGAUGUAGCAGUAACUAGCAGGAUGUGUAAAGUUUAUGCUCUAUAUAUUUCAGGUUCUUAUGAAAAGAUCGUAACAAAAUAAAUAUGAGAGAGUUUGGAAUAUAAUACUUUUGAGUUUCCGUUCAUCUAUGAAAAGAUGGUAACUACAUCGCGCGCUAGGGCAGAGUAUGCUGGAGUUCCUGUACAGAAAUGUGUGCUUAUUGCUGGAGGCCAAUCUGGUGUAUCUGAAUCUUAAUGCAUAGUCAUGCCAUGUAUCAAUCUGCGGAGCAGAUAGGAAAAUUUGAGCUUCAUAUCAUGGAGGGAGAGUUUGCUGAUCCUCAGAUUGUAGUUAUGCUUGGUGAAAACGGGACAGUGAAGACGACAUUUCCUUGCUUGCUAGUACACCUUUUUAGAUCCCUUUCUUGUUGUUUUUAGUUUCAAAUUCUAUGUCUAGACUGCGCAUUUAUUCACAUUACACAAGUAUGAUGCAUGUGUAACUUCUAGUUACACAUGUUAUGUGCUUGUGUAACUCCUAAUUACACAAGUAGGAUACAUGUGUAACUAUGAAUUACACUAGACAGAUGCAUGAGUAUCUUCUACUUACACAUGCUAAAAUGAACAAACCUUGUAACCAAAAAAUUACGCAUGCCAGUU